rnacentral:rRNA from 1 species
AUGCAAAGUCGAGCGGUAGCACAGAGAGCUUGCUCUCGGGUGACGAGCGGCGGACGGGUGAGUAAUGUCUGGGAAACUGCCUGAUGGAGGGGGAUAACUACUGGAAACGGUAGCUAAUACCGCAUAACGUCGCAAGACCAAAGUGGGGGACCUUCGGGCCUCAUGCCAUCAGAUGUGCCCAGAUGGGAUUAGCUAGUAGGUGGGGUAACGGCUCACCUAGGCGACGAUCCCUAGCUGGUCUGAGAGGAUGACCAGCCACACUGGAACUGAGACACGGUCCAGACUCCUACGGGAGGCAGCAGUGGGGAAUAUUGCACAAUGGGCGCAAGCCUGAUGCAGCCAUGCCGCGUGUGUGAAGAAGGCCUUCGGGUUGUAAAGCACUUUCAGCGGGGAGGAAGGCGUUGAGGUUAAUAACCUUGUCGAUUGACGUUACCCGCAGAAGAAGCACCGGCUAACUCCGUGCCAGCAGCCGCGGUAAUACGGAGGGUGCAAGCGUUAAUCGGAAUUACUGGGCGUAAAGCGCACGCAGGCGGUCUGUCAAGUCGGAUGUGAAAUCCCCGGGCUCAACCUGGGAACUGCAUUCGAAACUGGCAGGCUAGAGUCUUGUAGAGGGGGGUAGAAUUCCAGGUGUAGCGGUGAAAUGCGUAGAGAUCUGGAGGAAUACCGGUGGCGAAGGCGGCCCCCUGGACAAAGACUGACGCUCAGGUGCGAAAGCGUGGGGAGCAAACAGGAUUAGAUACCCUGGUAGUCCACGCCGUAAACGAUGUCGAUUUGGAGGUUGUGCCCUUGAGGCGUGGCUUCCGGAGCUAACGCGUUAAAUCGACCGCCUGGGGAGUACGGCCGCAAGGUUAAAACUCAAAUGAAUUGACGGGGGCCCGCACAAGCGGUGGAGCAUGUGGUUUAAUUCGAUGCAACGCGAAAAACCUUACCUGGUCUUGACUUCCCAGAACUUUCCAAAAUGGAUUGGUGCCUUCGGAACUGUGAAAAGGGGCUGCUGG